GCCUUCUGGACUGACACUGACACUGAGGUGCGAAAGCGUGGGUASCWAACAGGAUUAGAUACCCUGGUAGUCCACGCCGUAAACGAUGUCGACCAGCCGUUGGGUGSCUAGAGCACUUUGUGGCGAAGUUAACGCGAUAAGUCGACCGCCUGGGGAGUACGGCCGCAAGGUUAAAACUCAAAUGAAUUGACGGGGGCCCGCACAAGCGGUGGAGCAUGUGGUUUAAUUCGAUGCAACGCGAAGAACCUUACCUACCCUUGACAUCUACAGAAGCCGGAAGAGAUUCUGGUGUGCCUUCGGGAACUGUAAGACAGGUGCUGCAUGGCUGUCGUCAGCUCGUGUUGUGAAAUGUUGGGUUAAGUCCCGUAACGAGCGCAACCCUUGUSCUUAUUUGCCAGCGAGUAAUGUCGGGAACUCUAAGGAGACUGCCGGUGACAAACCGGAGGAAGGUGGGGACGACGUCWAGUCAUCAUGGCCCUUACGGGUAGGGCUACACACGUGCUACAAUGGCCGGURCAAAGGGCUGCGAGCUCGCGAGAGUCAGCGAAUCCCUUAAAGCCGGUCUCWGUCCGGAUCGGAGUCUGCAACUCKACUCCGUGAAGUCKGAAUC
rnacentral:rRNA from 1 species